rnacentral:rRNA from 1 species
GACGAACCGUGCGAACGUUGUUCGGAAUCACUGGGCUUAAAGGGCGCGUAGGCGGGUCGGCAAGUCCGGGGUGAAAGCCCCCAGCUCAACUGGGGAAGGGCCUUGGAAACUGCCGGUCUUGAGGGAGGUAGGGGCCUGUGGAACUUCGGGUGGAGCGGUGAAAUUCGUAGAUAUUCGCAAGAACACCAGUGGCGAAGGCGGCUUACUGGUCCGGUUCUGACGCUGAGGCGCGAAAGCGUGGGGAGCAAACAGG